rnacentral:rRNA from 1 species
CGGAGGAAAAGAAACCAACAGGGAUUGCCCUAGUAACGGCGAGUGAAGCGGCAACAGCUCAAAUUUGAAAUCUGGCUCUCGGGCCCGAGUUGUAAUUUGUAGAGGAUGCUUUUGGUGAGGUGCCUUCCGAGUUCCCUGGAACGGGACGCCACAGAGGGUGAGAGCCCCGUCUGGUUGGACACCGAUCCUCUGUAAAGCUCCUUCGACGAGUCGAGUAGUUUGGGAAUGCUGCUCUAAAUGGGAGGUAUAUGUCUUCUAAAGCUAAAUACCGGCCAGAGACCGAUAGCGCACAAGUAGAGUGAUCGAAAGAUGAAAAGAACUUUGAAAAGAGAGUUAAAAAGUACGUGAAAUUGUUGAAAGGGAAGCGCUUGUGACCAGACUUGGGCUUGGUUGAUCAUCCAGGGUUCUCCCUGGUGCACUCUUCCGGCCCAGGCCAGCAUCAGUUCGCCCCGGGGGAAAAAGGCUUCGGGAAUGUGGCUCUCUCCGGGGAGUGUUAUAGCCCGUUGCGUAAUACCCUGUGGCGGACUGAGGUUCGCGCAUUCGCAAGGAUGCUGGCGUAAUGGUCAUCAGUGACCCGUCUUGAAACACGGACCAAGGAGUCGUCUUCGUAUGCGAGUGUUCGGGUGUCAAACCCCUACGCGAAAUGAAAGUGAACGCAGGUGAGAGCUUCGGCGCAUCAUCGACCGAUCCUGAUGUAUUCGGAUGGAUUUGAGUAAGAGCAUACGGAGCCGGACCCGAAAGAAGGUGAACUAUGCCUGUGUAGGGUGAAGCCAGAGGAAACUCUGGUGGAGGCUCGCAGCGGUUCUGACGUGCAAAUCGAUCGUCAAACAUGGGCAUGGGGGCGAAAGACUAAUCGAACCUUCUAGUAGCUGGUUUCCGCC